rnacentral:rRNA from 1 species
AACGCGAAGAACCUUACCUGGGCUUGAACCGCACAGGACCAUCUUUGGAAACAGAGACUUCCCGCAAGGGACCUGUGUAGAGGUGCUGCAUGGCUGUCGUCAGCUCGUGCCGUGAGGUGUUGGGUUAAGUCCCGCAACGAGCGCAACCCUUACUCAUAGUUGCUACCCGCAAGGGAGAACUCUAUGAGGACUGCUCCGGAUAACGGAGAGGAAGGUGGGGAUGAGGUCAAGUCAGCAUGGCCUUUAUGUCCAGGGCUACACACGUGUUACAAUGCGCGCCACAAAGCGUCGCGAACCCGCGAGGGGGAGCUAAUCGCAAAAAAGCGCGCUCAGUUCGGAUUGCAGUCUGCAACUCGACUGCAUGAAGCCGGAAUCGCUAGUAAUGGCGCAUCAGAACGGCGCCGUGAAUACGUUCCCGGGCCUUGUACACACCGAGACGAC